rnacentral:piRNA from 1 species
UGGUUCAUGUAAAUCUGCUUGUGUGGU